UGGGUGUCGGGGAAUUGGUUUACCCUCUCGCACUGGAGAGCAAUUAGUUUACCCUCUCGCACUGGAGAGCAUGGUUGGUCCCUCGGGGGGCGCAAUUCCUGCGAUGGGUCCCUAAGAAGGGCGCAGUCUUCUUUUGAAGUGCCGGAGUGAUCAGUUGUUAUAAGCAUGCAGCCGAGCCAAGUUGUGAUUACUUCUGAAUUCCUCAUUGAAAAACGAGU
rnacentral:lncRNA from 1 species